GGGCCCGCACAAGCGGUGGAGCAUGUGGUUUAAUUCGAUGCAACGCGAAGAACCUUACCAGGGCUUGACAUACUGCGAAUUUUCUUGAAAGAGAAAAGUGCCUUCGGGAAUGCAGAUACAGGUGGUGCAUGGCUGUCGUCAGCUCGUGUCGUGAGAUGUUGGGUUAAGUCCCGCAACGAGCGCAACCCUUGUUUUUAGUUACCAACUUGUUGGGUUUUCUAGAAAGACUGCCGGUGACAAACCGGAGGAAGGUGAGGAUGACGUCAAGUCAGCAUGCCCCUUAUGUCCUGGGCUACACACGUGCUACAAUGGUUAGGACAAAGAGUUGCAAGUUUGCAAAAACAAGCUAAUCUCGUAAACCUAACCUAAGUUCAGAUUGUAGGCUGCAACUCGCCUACAUGAAGUUGGAAUCGCUAGUAAUCG
rnacentral:rRNA from 1 species